GACGAACGCUGGCGGCGUGCUUAACACAUGCAAGUCGAACGGAAAGGCCCUGCUUGCAGGGUGCUCGAGUGGCGAACGGGUGAGUAACACGUGGGUGAUCUGCCCCUUACUUUGGGAUAAGCCUUGGAAACUGGGUCUAAUACUUGAUAGCACCAUGCUGUAGGUGGUGUGGUGGAAAGAUUAGUUUCGGUAGGGGAUGAGCUCGCGGCCUAUCAGCUUGUUGGUGGGGUAAUGGCCUACCAAGGCGUCGACGGGUAGCCGGCCUGAGAGGGUGGACGGCAAGAUUGGGACUGAGAUACGAGCCAGAAUCGUACGGGAGGCAGCAGUGGGGAAUAUUGCAAAAUGGGCGCAAGGCGGAUGCAGCGAAGCCGCGUGGGGGAUGAAGGCCUUCGGGUUGUAAACUCCUGUCAGACAUGACGAAGCCCUUGUGGUGACGGUAGUGGUAGAAGAAGCACCGGCUAACUACGUG
rnacentral:rRNA from 1 species